rnacentral:rRNA from 1 species
UGGGGAAUUUUGGACAAUGGGGGAAACCCUGAUCCAGCCAUCCCGCGUGUGCGAUGAAGGCCUUCGGGUUGUAAAGCACUUUUGGCAGGCAAGAAACGUCAUGGGUUAAUACCCCGUGAAACUGACGGUACCUGCAGAAUAAGCACCGGCUAACUACGUGCCAGCAGCCGCGGUAAUACGUAGGGUGCAAGCGUUAAUCGGAAUUACUGGGCGUAAAGCGUGCGCAGGCGGUUCGGAAAGAAAGAUGUGAAAUCCCAGAGCUCAACUUUGGAACUGCGUUUUUAACUACCCGGCUAGAGUGUGUCAGAGGGAGGUGGAAUUCCGCGUGUAGCAGUGAAAUGCGUAGAUAUGCGGAGGAACACCGAUGGCGAAGGCAGCCUCCUGGGAUAACACUGACGCUCAUGCACGAAAGCGUGGGGAGCAAACAGG